rnacentral:rRNA from 1 species
UACGUAGGGGGCAAGCGUUGUCCGGAAUUACUGGGCGUAAAGCGCACGUAGGCGGCUUUGUAAGUUAGAGGUGAAAGCCUGGAGCUCAACUCCAGAACUGCCUUUAAGACUGCAUCGCUUGAAUCCAGGAGAGGUGAGCGGAAUUCCGAGUGUAGAGGUGAAAUUCGUAGAUAUUCGGAAGAACACCAGUGGCGAAGGCGGCUCACUGGACUGGUAUUGACGCUGAGGUGCGAAAGCGUGGGGAGCAAACAGG